UUUUACCCCAAUGGACCGGUGUCUUAUUCUGCAGUUUUCAAAGGCUGUAGGGAAGAUCAAAGAUGCCAUCUUAGCCCUGGCAGUGGCAACAGUGGACGAUGAUAACGAUGAAGUCACGGCGCGAAGCCCUCCUGAAGUGCCUCGAGACUGCUGCUCGGUGCUACAGGAUACCGUGGACGCAUAUGACCAUCGACAUCCUGGGGCGGCAUGCAUACGGCAGCAUGAGGCGGUUCAUGGCCCGGCAGCGGGAGACGGUGGAGAAGCUGUGGAACUCGAUCAAGGAGCAGCAGAUCCUGCGCAAGCAUGACAAGUCGACGAGCGGGAAGCUGGACGUGAACGCCUUUGAGCGGCUCCAGGAGAAGUCUAUGCAAAAACGGUGAGGAUGACAAGGUGAAGAUGAAGUGCUUCUAUGGUCAUGCUCAAGAAUGCAAGUGAGAAGAAGAGGAAGAGGAGGUCCUGAACGUUUCUCCCACACAUCAUAGAUACCACCACCGCGGCCUUGUAGGAAUUAAGCUGGCGCCAUGCCACCCUUGUGUAUCUGUUUUUGAUCGUAUGUGCAAGUUGGACGUGCAUACGUGUAUUUGCUUUUGUGUGUAUUUGAC